UACAUCUCAGUCUAUACUUUUUUCCAGCCACUCACUAAGCUUAAAAGUCCAGAUGCAAAGAAGCCAUUGAAGAAACCGAAAAAGAGAUAGAUACAGAAGAUUCAACUCUUGUGAGAAAAAAGGUAUGUUCUGUCUUUAUGUUCAAAGUGCAAAAAGUCACGGAUAAUUUAAAUAAUCUUGGAUUUGCUUCUUAUAAAUUAUACUUCUGAUUGGUUAAAGUUAAUCUGAUUCUCUUCUAAUUUAAUAAAAAUCUUGCUUUUGAAACUGUACUAUGUUUUUAUUUUCAACUGGUUGUUCUUAGUCAAGAUUGUCUUUUCUCUACUUGUGAUUCCAAAAGGUAAACAAAUUCCUAAUUCAUUAGCUUAUCUGCACUCGAAAUCAUAAUUUUGUUUUCCAUAAAUGUCGCUUGUUACUCUCUCUCUUUUCUUUAGUUUCUUCUUCUUUUGCUGUACUUUUAUAUCCUGGUUCUCUUUUACAGAAAAGUGGGCCAUAUAUUUUCUAUUUAUCAUGAGUGACUGAGCAUAUUUGACCAGUAUUGACAUCUAACGCGUUAAUCCCUGAAACUUGUUAAACUCUCGCACGGGGUCCUAAUAACAUUGAUUUUAUUAUAUAUGGCUGAUAAUGAAAACGUGCUAAGAAGAUUGGAUGAAAAUGGAGCUUAAUUCAUUUUAUUUUCAGAGAGUUCCAGAGAGAACUUCUCAAACACGGUCUCAGUCACACAAUAGAAAAAAUGAACCCCCAAGAGACUGGUAGGCUUCCCUAACAAAUUAGGCUCCUAUUAAAAUUGGGCUGAAAUAAAAUCGGGCUCAGACGGUUGCUGGUCCAAAACAAAAUAGGCCCAAAAGUAUAAGAAACAUAUUACAACUUAAUUAAAUAAAACGUACAAAGAAAUUAGUGUUUAUGCUUGGGUUUGGAGGCUAAUGGACUUGCGCAAAAGAUCAUGAUGAACAGUGCCAGACAACGGUUUGGUGAGAACAUCAGCUAACUGUUGAGAAGUGGAAACAUGAGAUAGAGAAAUCAGCCCAUCAGAAAGUUUGGUCCAGACAAAAUGACAAUCAAUCUUAACGUGCUUGGUCCGCUCAUGAAAAACUGGAUUCCUGGCUAUAUGUAAAGCAGCCUGGUUAUCACAAAAGACAGAGAAAGGAAGAGACACAGCAACACCAAGGUCAGUAAGCAAUCUGGAAAACCAAGAUAAUUCAGCAACCACCUUGCUAAGCGCCUUGUACUCUGCCUCAGCAGAAGAUAAAGAUAUCACUGGUUGUUUUUUGGACUUCCAACUAACAAAGUUGCCCCCUAAUAGCAACAAUCAAUAUCAAUGUGCUUGGUCCGUUCAUGAAAAACUGGAUUCCUGGCUAUAUGUAAAGUAGCCUGGUUAUCACAAAAGACAGAGAAAGGAAGAGACACAGAAACACCGAGGUCAGUAAGCAAUCUGGAAAACCAAGAUUAUUCAGCAACCACCUUGCUAAGCGCCCUAUACUCUACCUCAGCAGAAGAUAAAGAUAUCACUGGUUGUUUUUUGGACUUCCAACUAACCAAGCUACCCCCUAAUAUCACGCGGAAACCAGUGACAGAUCUGCGAGUAUCAUGGCAAGCUGCUCAAUCACUGUCUGAAAAUGCAUGGACAGAAAAAUCAGGAGAGUUAGAAUAGAAAAGCCCCAAAUCCAUAGUGCCUUUAAGAUAUCAAAGAACAUGGAGUGCAGCAGACAUGUGAGGUAAUCUAGGAGACUUCAAGAACUGGCUCAAUGAUGUACAGCAAAGCAAACAUUAGGACGGGUAUGAGUCAAAAACAGAAGCUUCCCAAUGAGGCUUCUAUACUUGUCAGGAGAAGGGAAAAGAUCACCAGAGUCAGCAUGCAAUUUGGUAUUAAGGUCUAAAGGAUAAGUGACAAAAGAAACUGCAAAGCAGUCAAAUUGCUGCAAUAAGUCAGAGACAAACUUCUUUUGAUUAAGAAGUACCCCACCAUGAUUAGAAGACACCUCAAUUUCCAGAAAAUAAUGUAAAGACCCCAGGUCUUUGAUUUUAAAGUGAUCAUCCAAGAAAUGUUUUAGGGCAGUAAUUUCAGUGGUAUCAUCCCAAGUGGUAAUGAUAUCAUCCACAUACACUGUCAGCAGCACAAGACAGCCAGGCUGACCUUUAAUAAACAUGAGAGUAAUCAUUCAGAGAGCGUACAUAACCUCUAGAACACAAAGAUUGAGACAAUUUAGCAUACCAUUGUCUUGAAGCAUGCCUUAACCCAUAGAGUGACUUCUUCAAUUUGCACACAAGGGGAGUGGAAACAGAAGAAACAGUAGGAGCAGAAAUGUGCAAACCUAGAGGUAGCUUCAUAUUCACUUCCUCAUCUAGGUCACCAUGCAAGAAGGCAUUGUUGACAUCAAGUUGAAAAAGAUCCCAAUGUUUCUUAACAGCUACAGCAAUCAAACAUUUGACAGUAGUAAUCUUAAUCACAGGGGAAAUGUUUCAGUGAAAUCAACCCCCUCUACCUGGGUGUCUCCUCUAAUAACAAGCCUAGCUUUAUGCCUUUCAACACUGCCAUCAGCUCUAUAUUUAAUUUUAUAGACCCACUUGCAACCUAUGGGUUUCUUACCAGGAGGAAGGGGAACAAUAUCCCAAGCGUGGUUGGCAUCCAAUGCAUCAAACUCCUGUCUCAUGGCAUCCUGCCAAGCUGGAACUGUGGUAGCUUGAGAAUAAAAAAGAGGUUCAAAUUCCAGACUGGAAGUAGAGGAAGAAGAUCCAGAAAAGGAAGGUAAGUAACACUCAUAGUCUUUGAGAUAAGAAUGAGUGGUGUGUUGUCUUCCAGAUCAUCUCUUGAUAUGAGGUUGUGUAGGGGAAGAAACAUGAGGAGGCUCUGGAAUAUCAGGAUUGAAGGAUGCAGGAGGAAGAGGCUCAGAAUGUGUCGAGUCAAAAGGAAAAGAAGGACUAUGGCUGGAACCAGAAGGAAAAGAGGCAGAAGGAGAGGGAAAAGGUGAACAAGCUGGGAGAGAGAGGUGUGUUCCAUAAUCUUGCUGUACAAUAGGAGGUGGAAAAGAAAAUAUAGAUGAGCCAGAGGGAAUAACAGAAGUAGAGGCAAAAGUAAAACAGGUCUCAUGAAACACAGCAUCCCUGGACACAAAAUAUUUUGUGGAAACUAUAUCAUACAACUUGUAACCCUUUUUGGCAAAGGGGUAUCCUAGAGAAAACACAUGAAAGUGCCCCAUGUUUUAGUUUAUCUCUUUGUGGAAUAGGGACAGUAGCAUAAGCAAGACAACCAAAUGCUCUCAAAUGUGAAUAAUUGGGAGUCUUACCAUAUAGCACUUCAUAAGGAGAUUUGUUUUGAAGAAUCCUGGAGGGUAUCCUAUUAAGCAGGUAUGUGGCAGUUAAUAGACAGUCUCCCUAGAAUGAUACAGGCAGUUUGGACUGAAAAAGUAAAGCUCUACAAGCUUCAAGUAGUGUUCUGUGUUUUCUUUCAACAGCACCAUUUUGUUGAGGACUGUGGGGACAAGUGGUUUGAUGAAUAAUACCCUGUUGAUUGAAGAAAGAAGCCCCUUCAAGGCUGGACCCUAGUUCCAAGGCAUUAUCACUUCUUAUUGUUUGGAAAGUAACACCAAAUUGAGUUUUAACCAUGGACAGGAAGGACUUAAUAAUGCAAAAAGCAUUGCUUUUAGGUCCCAGUAGAUGUGUCCAGGUUGCCCUAGAGAAAUCAUCAACUAUUGUAAGGAAGUAUCUGGAACCAGAGGAGGUUGGGGUGUGGUAAGGCCCCCAAGUAUCUACAUGGAUUAAUUGGAAAGGUAUACUUGUACUGAUGGAACUAUCAGGGAAAGGAAGCCUAGUUUGCCUAGCUAUAUGACAAAUAGAACAAGGAAAUGAUUGUUUAGAAGCAAGGGAAAGAGAUAAGGCUGAAAUAUAUCUCAUAUUUUCAAAAGGAAUGUGAGCAAGUCUUAAGUGCCAAAUGAAGUUCAUGUUAUUUCCACUAGCAUUAUUACAAAUGGAGUUAUUUACAGUGAAAGGCAAAGAAAUAGCUUUAGAGCUAGAAGCACAAACAGAAUUGUGAGAAUCAUAAUGAACACACAGAAACAGGCUUGCACUUGUAUAGACCAUUCUCCUCUUUACCAAGAUCCAGAGGCAUCCUCAGAGAAGGGGCCUGUAACAUGUGAAGAAAACAGGAAGUUGCGGUAAACAUGACUAUACAGUGCAACUGUUUUAUCAGUUUGUGGACAGAUAUUAAAUUGUGUUUGAAAGAAGGAACAAACAACACAUUAUGAAGUGUGAUGAAUGGGGUUAAAGCAAAAGAUCCAGUGGAGGUCACUUUCACUUUGUAUCCAUUGGGAAGUGUUACAAGAUAAGGUACAGUCAAGGGUGUGAUAUCAAAGAGUAAAGCUUUAUUAGAUGUCAUGUGGUCAGAAGCCCCUGAGUCUAUUAUCCAAGAAAUAGAGUUGAUUUGAGUAAGCAUAUAGAGUUUGGAAGCAGAAACAGGAUUCUCAGUUAGCAUAGUACCAGCAAAGUUGGCAGAACACAUGGGAGUGAGAUCUUGUGUAUUGGAGUCUCCCAACUGAGUCUGUUGAAGCAAAGUCAUCAAUUGAUCAUAUUGUUAUAUGCUCAAACCUGGAACCACAGAACUUUGUUCAGCCACAUUUGGAACAGAUUUGUGACCCUCACUGGAAUUACCAGUAAGAUCUGAUGUGUGCCCUUCAGAAAGAUUGAAGUGAGCACCAGUAGUUACAUGAGCAGCGGCAGUUUUCCUUACUUUGUUAAACUUGAGGUUUUGUGGAUACCCAUGAAGCUUGUAACACUUAUCAAUUAGGUGCCCAGACUUCUUGCAAUAUCUAGAGAACAAAGGUCACUUUGUUAAAAUUGAGGUUUUGUGGAUACCCAUGAAGCUUGUAACACUUAUCAAUUAAGGGCCCAGACUUCUUGCAAUAUCUACAGAAUAAAGUCCCCUUUGACUGAUCAAAACUGACUCUUUGUGUAUGUUGUCUGAGAGAAGAAGCAUUAGGUACUGCAGCUUGAUUCAUUCCAAGAGAAGAUGCAUGAUAUUUGUUUGCAUUAACACUGAAAGACAUGGAAUCAGGAUUGAAUUGAGAGUU
rnacentral:lncRNA from 1 species